rnacentral:misc_RNA from 1 species
AGCGUCUACCUAAUUGUGGUAGGAUAAUUCUGGCUCAAAUAAGCUCAGCAUCAGCGAUCCCCCUCACGGCGAUCCUUCUGCUGGCUUUGCCUGAUAAUCCUUCUGCAGCAUUCAUGCAUGGUCUGGUCCUGUUUAUUACAGGGUUCUGCAUAUCUUGGAAUGCUCCAGCCACAAACAAUCCAAUUUUUGCAGAGAUUGUGCCUGAGAAGUCAAGAACCAGUAUA